rnacentral:rRNA from 1 species
UAAUACGAAGGGGGCUAGCGUUGUUCGGAAUUACUGGGCGUAAAGCGCGCGCAGGCGGUCUUCCAAGUCAGUGGUGAAAGCCCGGAGCUCAACUCCGGAAUCGCCAUUGAAACUGUGAGACUCGAGUACGAGAGAGGUGAGUGGAAUUCCCAGUGUAGAGGUGAAAUUCGUAGAUAUUGGGAAGAACACCGGUGGCGAAGGCGGCUCACUGGCUCGUAACUGACGCUCAGGCGCGACAGCGUGGGGAUCAAACAGGAUUAGAUACCCUGGUAGUCCACGCCGUAAACGAUGAAUGCUAGCCGUUGGAUAGCUUGCUAUUCAGUGGCGCAGCUAACGCAUUAAGCAUUCCGCCUGGGGAGUACGGCCGCAAGGUU